AAUAUAUAUAUAUUAUUUAAGUUUAUUUCAAGUGGUGGGACCCACUUGUUUUAAAAUUUGUCAGAAUUUUUUUUCUCUUCUUUUCUUUUUCUUUCUUUUCCUUUUUCUUCCCGAGCACUUCUUCUUCUUCUUCUUCUUCUUCUUUUUUUUUUCUUCUUUUUCUCUCUGCAACAACCCACGUCGGGGUACCACAAAGCCAUUGCCGGAGUUCCCUUUUGCCGCCACGUCCCGGAGCUGGAGCACCAGUGGUCGGCGACAACCCCAUCCCCAAAAUCUCAGGGCCAUCGGAGUUAAGACGCACACGAACGGAGCAGUCAAAGUUUCGUCGUCAAAACUUUGACCGCGCUUUCCGGCGAACCCAGACCUCUGUUCGGUGAGUGGGUGGCACCGUUGGAACCAGCGUGAAGGGAGGAACGUCGCCCACUAAGUCAUUUCAGUCAACCCACUGUUUUUCUCCGGCGAAAUUUUAGGUAUCUUCACCCCUGUGGAAGCAUUUUCCGGCGACAUCGGAGGUCAGUUGGGCAAAGGGGCUGUACUACUCGAGAGGAUCAUUUUGAUAUAUGCCAUGCAUAUAUUCGUCGACGUUUCCGGUACCGCCACCAACUGCUAUUGUGCACCGCUUGGGUGAGGUUCCAGAACUUGAAAUUUUAAAUAUGUUCAUAUUAUAUGUCAUUGGACACGGUUUUGAAUAAGGAAUGCAAUGAUGAUAAUCGUUUGCUCAUUUGGUGCACGUAGGAAAAACGUAAUAUUAAAAUUGGACUAAGAUCAUCGUUAAGCUUAGGAGCGUCGCUUUGGGCUCGGAUUGAAAAUUCUAAAGAGGAGCCUAGUGACGCGAACGUGGAAAAUGUGAAUUAUUGCUGAAGCCAAUGUGUUUAGUGCCAUAGUCCUAUCUUUUGAACAUUGUAUGUAUUUAAUUUGGAACCUAUCGGUCUGUAUAUCUAAAUUAGCUAUGUCAUAGUUAGAAAUGAGGAAUGGUGGAUGCUAAGUAUUAUUUUGGGUAUUUUAUGACUUAUUAAAUUUAACUGUUUGGUGACUACAUAACUAUGGAGAUAUUAUUAUUCUAUGUAUUAAGAUAAAUGAUCCUACUUUUAUC